rnacentral:rRNA from 1 species
GACGAACGCUGGCGGCGUGCCUAAUACAUGCAAGUAGAACGCUGAAGGAGGAGCUUGCUUCUCUGGAUGAGUUGCGAACGGGUGAGUAACGCGUAGGUAACCUGCCUGGUAGCGGGGGAUAACUAUUAGAAACGAUAGCUAAUACCGCAUAAGAGUAGAUGUUGCAUGACAUUUGCUUAAAAGGUGCAAUUACAUCACUACCAGAUGGACCUGCGUUUUAUUAGCUAGUUGGUGGGGUAACGGCUCACCAAGGCGACGAUACAUAGCCGACCUGAGAGGGGGAUCGGCCAAACUGGGCAUGAUACACGGCCCAACCUCGUACGGGAGGCAGCAGCAGGGAAUCUUCGGCAAUAGACGGAAGUCUGACCGAGCAACCCCGCGUGAGUGAAGAAGGAUUUCGGAUCGUAAAGCUCUGUUGUACCGGAAGAACGAGUGUGAGAGUCGAACGUUCACACUAUGAAGGUACCUUACCAGAAAGGGACGGCUAACUACGUG